rnacentral:rRNA from 1 species
CCUACGGGUGGCAGCAGUGGGGAAUAUUUCGCAAUGGGGGCAACCCUGACGCAGCAACGCCGCGUGAUUGAAGAAGGCCUUCGGGUUGUAAAGAUCUUUAAUCAGGGACGCAAAAUGACGGUACCUGACGACUACGCUCCGGCUCACUACGUGCUAGCAGCCGCGGUCAUACGUAGGGAGCAAGCGUUAUCCGGAUUUACUGGGGGUAAAGGGCGUGUAGGCGGGCCUGUAAGUCAGAAGUGAAAUGUGGGGGCUUAACCCCCAAACUGCUUUUGAAACUGCGGGUCGAGAGUGAGGGAGAGGCAGGCGGAAGUCCCGGUGGAGCGGUGAAAUGCGUAGAUAGUGGGAGGAACACCAGUGGCGAAGGCGGCCUGCUGGACAGUAAAUGAAGCUGAGGCGCGAAAGCGUGGGGAGCGAAAGGGAUUAGAUACCCUAGUAGUC